AGAGACAGUGUAGGAAUCCCAGAAACAACAGCCAUGUUGCUGCAUGUGGCUAACCAUCGUUGAUUUUGCAUGUCAGUUUCUAAGCCGAUAUCACCAACUAUGACUCUGACAUCCAAUGAAGCAGUCGAGGGCCAUGAUGCUUUUCUGACUGAGGCAACACAGCCUGGAGCCCAAAUCCCGAGGCUGUGCACCAAAGUCCUUCCGUUUGUCACUGAUCCUGGUGCUUUCCCACAAGAAGUUGCUCAAUGUGGCUACCAGGGAGGCCAAACAUAAGCCUGUGUCUGCAGACAGGAGGGCACCAACAAUGUGUCAAGCAACCUCAUCUGCAUCGUCACAAGCAUCUGCAGUGUGGAUAUCUGGUCAACAUGGUCGUUUGACAGUUGUGGAG
ensembl:lncRNA